GACGAACGCUGGCGGCGUGCUUAACACAUGCAAGUCGAGCGGGGUGAUGGUGCUUGCACUAUCACUUAGCGGCGGACGGGUGAGUAAUGCUUAGGAAUCUGCCUAUUAGUGGGGGACAACAUCUCGAAAGGGAUGCUAAUACCGCAUACGUCCUACGGGAGAAAGCAGGGGAUCACUUGUGACCUUGCGCUAAUAGAUGAGCCUAAGUCGGAUUAGCUAGUUGGUGGGGUAAAGGCCUACCAAGGCGACGAUCUGUAGCGGGUCUGAGAGGAUGAUCCGCCACACUGGGACUGGGACAAGGCCCAGACUCCUACGGGAGGCAGCAGUGGGGAAUAUUGGACAAUGGGGGGAACCCUGAUCCAGCCAUGCCGCGUGUGUGAAGAAGGCCUUAUGGUUGUAAAGCACUUUAAGCGAGGAGGAGGCUCUUUUGGUUAAUACCCAAGAUGAGUGGACGUUACUCGCAGAAUAAGCACCGGCUAACUCUGUGCCAGCCGCCGCGGUAA
rnacentral:rRNA from 1 species